ACCAGAGUGGGCCAACCACCCCUCUCUCUCCAUCAUGGGCAGCAACUGCCCCACCCACCCCUCUCUCUCUCACUCCUGUGCUCCCAACCGGCCCAAGGAGCUAAGAGCUCCCUCUCUCCCUCCGUCUCUCAAGCACUCUCUCCCUCUCCCCAAAAUCUGAUCUCAAGAGAAGGAUUUGAGAAUGAGGAGCAUUGGUAUUCUUCCUCUUUCCGAGCGUUUCCUCCAUCCCCCGACGGUCACCAACCUCCACAAGCACCGUGGGUGUUACCGUCGAGGAGGAGUUGGUCUUUGGCUACUUCACGCCUGCCAAGGGUGGCGGGUAUGAGUAGAAAACUACUCGGUGGUCGCGC